AUAGCAGAAUAGUGCAACAGUAAUUAUCUUGCUUAUUUCAGUGUUGCAAUUUGAAAUGUGGCUAUUGUGGGCACUGAGAGGCGUGAGUUAGCAAGAUUUUGCUGAUUUCAAGUUUUCUAGGGUGGAUUUAAGGUAAGAUUCAGUGUUUAUGAGAACGUCGGUGGUGGGAUUUUUUAUAUCUAGAAAGUGAAUUGAUCACCAAGAUGCCCAUUGGAUUGACGUGUUUUAGGGCAUUGUUCGGCAAUAUCAAUCGUGGAUUAGUAGUUAGCUGUUUACAUAGUAAUUUAAAACUGAAGUAUUGGGUUAGAUUAGUUAUUAAAUAAAAAAAUAUUGACCUUAGUCAAAAAGUUCCCUUGGCCUCUAAAAGCAAGCUAUGAGGAUAACUUUUCAUUAAUCAGUUUUUAACCUCUAAAUGCUAGUAUCAAUACCAUGCUAUCAAAUAUAUCAGUAUAAAUAAGAGAUGGAGUGUUUUAACGUUAAAUACUGCGUUAAAAGUUAUUAGCCAACAGGAUCCAAGUAAACAAGUGAAGGGUAAUUGGUUAAUUUAUGUUGUGCAGCCUAAGAAACUUUUAUGUUUUGUGGCAAGGAUAUAUAUAAUCAUGCACAAUGUGAAAGCGGCGAAUGUUUGUUCUUUGACAAAAAUUUCUUUCGGGCAAUUUGUGGGUUAUAUUCUGCUUGGAAGGAUAAACAGACACGUAUUUUCAUUUUAAAGUUGUGUAGACUGACAGGAUCCUUGUUUUAUUUCUUGAAUUUAUGGGUUUAAUGGUUAAACGGCACCUUUUAGUGGCUUUUGCCCUAGUUUGCAAUUCAUUGUUGAGAACAACAGGUUAGGGCUCAUCUUAAAAUUCAAUUCUGAUAUGAUGAAAUAUGAAGGUGAUGCCCCUGCAAAUAUUGAUAAAUUACUUAACAAAGUUACAUGAAGGUACAUAUUGAAAUAUAAUGAAAUCCCCCAGCUUGGUUUCAUUAGAUUUGGCUCGCUCUUGCUUAGUAUUGUUUUCGGUGUUGUAGAUCUGAUACGAAGUGUUCUAAAACUCAAAAACUCUCUUUACAGAUCAUACAACUGGAGUUCAUGCGAAACAUGUGGUGGGUAAUAUGGAUUAAAAUCGUUAUUAUAGAUGUAUGAAAGUUGUAUUACAUGUUUAUUUUGGUAAACGUUCACUGAUCGAAAUGAGUAAGCAAAAUUAUAUAAUUGCAACUCCUUGAAUUACUGCAAAGCUAUGAAAUUUGUUAUCCUAAUCCUCUUCAUGAUAAUGAAACAGAAGUCAAUUUUCAAAAUGAUCAUUGUAUGAAAUUAAAGCUUCAAUUUAUCUUGUCAUCAUAUCAAGAAGUAUUGAAGUAGAAGGUUUGUUAUUCCUAGGUAUGGCUUUCAUUUCUCAAACUACGAUUACAUUGUGUGUGGAUAUAAAGUUGUUUGAAAUGAUGUAUUUGAAUUAAAUACGUAGUUUUUGAUAUUCAUAAUGUUUAGAUUGUAUUUGGUUUAGUACAUUUGUUAAAUGUAAACCAAAUUCGUGUAUGUAUAUUAUUACUUGAUUGUGAACUGUGAACUUGAAAUAUCCACCAUAAA
rnacentral:misc_RNA from 1 species